rnacentral:lncRNA from 1 species
UGGAGACGCUCCCCGAGACUGGACAGACACCGAGAGGUGGAGCUGAGCCAAUACGAGGCUAAGGGAAUUCCAUGUAUUCCAGUUAUCCUGAGCUCACGUACAGCAGAGGAUACCCCCGAGUUUCACCGCCAUCUCUUACUAGGAUUCCAGGAUCCCUUUCAAGGCUUCUACCUGGAGCAACUGCCCACAGUUCUGCCUUAAGAGUGCCUGAGAGACCUGGCAUCUCACAGCCUGCCCUCCAAAUCAUCACUCACUCUGCCAGGCACACCAGGUCUUCCUCCCCUUCCUCGCCGCACCAAAGAAAUCAAAACCCAAACUGAGGUAUCAGAAACAUGUUUUUUUUUUUUUCUUUUAAUAGUAAACCUCUUUACAACAAAUAUAGUGAAAGAGUUUUCAAACCAAACUCGUAAGAAUCUCGAGGACUUUUCUUAAUGUGCAGAAUACUAGAAAGCAUCACCGUACAGCACGGAAAGAAAUAAUGAAAACAAACCAACAGCCACACACUUGGACUCACCCAGACCCAGGAGCCAGGAGUGUGGGUGAUUGUCAAGUUUGGGGACGGGUCAGCUCUUGGCUGGCCCAUCCCUCCCUUCUUCCCUCUUUCUGGGACUUGAAUGGGGGUAGAGAAUUCAGAUUCUCCUUGGGAAUCUCAGCCCUCCUGCCCCAUUACAUCCCACCCCUUCUGCUUAUGUAGAGGCAGACAGGGUAGAACAAGGAGCUCCCAGCCUCUUAGGAGAGCCUACAUUCCCCCACAGGGGUUCCAGAGAGUUAGGUAAAAAUAGAGAGAGAGAUAGAUUUAGAUACUUUUCCAUCAUUUCUGUCUCUCCAAACAAAUAAAUAACGAGCAAGAGAAGGUGCAUUUCUUUCUUCCUUCCUGUUGGAGUUGGGGAGGGUGGGUGGAUGCACUGCUGGGGAUGGAGGAAAUGUGCUAAACUGAGGCAUGUGGGGGUGGCCCUCGGUCCCACUAUCCCUGAAAGCAGAGGGGAACCUGGGUGGGAAGGGCACUGGAUGACGCCAGAGGCUACUUUGGCAAAUACCCAGUUCUGUAUAGGGAGUGGAGAGUAGGCAAAUUUGGCUUGUGAGAGGAAGAAAAUAAGUCCCCAUUUGAGGUCUAGGUUCCCAGGGAUCCAUUUACCUGGCCAGCCAGAAGCCCCUGCAUAGCCCCAGGAGAAACCUGGGGAUACUAAACUGCAGAAAUGUCACAUACUCAUUCACAGACUGCCCCUUCAGUCAGGGACAGAGACACACAAGAACUCAUACGUGUGUGUGCAGACACAGACACGCACACGCACGCACACACACACACAGUGCAUGCACGCAUCCGUACAUGGCAAUCACAAGCCAGGUUUGCUUUCGGGAAGCAGAUGGCAAACUGUUGAGUAGCACACUGUGAACUAUAGGGGCUUCACCCACAACUGUAAUGGUGGCCAAGCUCAGCCUUGAAGGAUGGGCCUGAGAUGAGGCCGUGAAUCCACAUUUAUUGAGCACCUGUCAUCCACCCAUUCAGCAUUUACUGAGGGCCUACAAUGUGCCAGCUACUUCAAGGGGAGCACAGGGCUACAACCCUGGCUUCUUUCAAGGCCAUAAGCAAGUCUUAAAACUCCCUCCAGGACUUGUGAGGAGGAGUGGGAAGGUGAGGCAUGUGGGUAGCACCCCAUGCUUGGUCAGCUACUGGGGUAAACUCUGGUUAAGGGAGGGUCCCUGCCUUACAAAAGGCAAAGCUCCGGGCAAGAAGAACUUGAGUUGGCUCCAUAAACAAGUCAGAACUCCAGGGAUGAACCAUGCCUGGGUGGGGCUAGUGGACAGCCAUAUGGAGGCAGAGCUCCAAAUGUGAAGCCCUGGUGGAGGUAGGCUGUGGGGAGAAACAGGAAGGCCAACUAGCACCCGUCCCCCAUGACUUUAGUAAAAUGUUUUGGGACUGAGAGCAGCCCGGGGAGGGGGUGAAGCCACAGAGUUGGAAGGCGCUGAUCCCUUGUAAACACACCCAGCUCACACAGAGGCCCUUGGAGCUUGAGUCACUCAAAGGUACAUCCGCACAGCUGCACACAAACACAUAAAUACAGGGUGAACCCAGAUACGCCUCCACGAGCAUGCUCACACCCCUCUGCUUCUGGCUCCUUCCCUGCAUCAAGUGUCAAAAUACUACAAAAGGCUGGGUCACAGGUGGGCAAAGACCAUCGUACUACAACACUGAGCCUUGUCUAACUCUACCCUCCAGCUGGGAGGAACUCCAAGGGAGUGUGUGCUGUCUCCCAUCCCCUUUCCCCAGGUGGGGAAGCAGAGGAAGGGCAGGGGUGGUGACAGCAGGCUGGGGAGGGGGCAAACUAUUCCCUCCAGUCUGACCUCAGAUCCAGCAAGAGGUCCAAGGACCCAAUGCUUCUUCCACUGCCCCUGGUGCUUGCUGCAGCCCCACUGAGGAGGCAACAAAGCAUUAGUCUGGAGAGGAAGGCAAGAACACAGCAGAAGAAUCUCAUCUGUACAGUACGGGCCAUUUGAGUCAUUAUUAUUACAAUAUACUUUGACAAAAAUAGAAUCUCAUUUCAUAUCAAUACAACAACAACAAACACAACAGUUUCCUGGACGGUUACACCACUAACAUUUGAAAGGUCUCUAUUUACAAUUACAGUAGCAAGAGGGCAGGUUUGGGAUGUGGCCUGGAGGUGGAGGGACAGGAGGUAGCGAGACAAGGAGCACGCAGAGAGCUGGGAGGUGGGUCAGGGGCAGGAGCUCAGAGGCCUGGGGAAGGGCCCGGGCCUCAUCUACAGGAGCCUCCAUGUGCCCAGUAAGUACUCUUCUGGACACAGGUGCACAAAGCCAAGAGGUGCCCUCCUCACCCUGCCCCUGACAAGCCUCCUGCUCUCAGUGCCCCAGGGAACCAAAGGACGACUCUGGCCCAUCCUGGAGCCACUUCAAUGAAGGUCCUCUCCCAAAUCUCCCAGUACAUGGCCAGCUUUCUUUAGGAUUGGGGUAGGCUAAAGGACGGGGAGCUAUUGCACUGUACAUCUCAAAGGAAAAGCUGGGGGUAGGGUCCCAAUUCACCACACCCAGUCCUUCUGUCCUCAUCAGCCCUCUUUCUACAGCUGUCUCUCUCCAUGUUAUCUCUAGAGAUUCCAACCUCAAGCCCCUUCCCUGGCCUCAGAUUCCUAGGCAGCCUUUCUAUCACCCAGAUCUUGGGGUGUAACACACAGGAUCAGAGAGUGUGAUACGUAUGCAGGAAGCUGGAGGGACCAGGAUGGGUAUUAGCCGUGAACAGCCCAGAAGCAGAAACUGCCUCCUCCUAUCCCCUGAGACACAAGCCCAUCGUCAAGCCAGCUUUGGGUUUCAGUCCACUAUCUGGGUUUUGUUGUUGGGUAGUUUUUGGUUCUUUACGUCUAUCUGGGAAUGGGAUGGGAGGGCUCCACAUGCAGGGCUCGGCACCUGUCCUUCUCCAAGGCCUACCGCCUCCCUCCUUCCUGCAGCAUAUGUGUACAACGUGCAAAGUGUCCCCCCUUUCCCGCAAUAAAGAGAGUCCCCAUCAGUGAAAAUGGUGGGGGCAAGAAAGGGGCAAGAGCAUCCCUCUCUCUAAAGCGAGAAUUCGAAUUUAAAAAUAUAAUAAUAAUAAUAACAAUAAUAAUAAUAUAAUUAUACACAAAUGUAACCAUCAACAGGACAUGGAGCAGAAGAAAGGAAGUGGGGUCGAGCGGGAGGAGCCCAGGAUAAGGAGGGGGUGGGCGGUGAGAUUGUCAACUCUUCAUCAGGGAGGCUGAAAGGAGGGAGUGGGAACCAUCACUUUAAUGUCUGUGAAGAAAGGAGAUGGAGAAGGUGGUGUGAGGGGCAAUGUGGCCUAUAGGAUGCACCCAACCCUCUCCCAAGGGGUAACACUCUAGGGCGAGCGAGCGAGCGAGGCUAGCUGGAGGUCACUGAGCAGGGGACAGUGCUGCAGGAAGGGGUCGAGGGCUGUGAGUACUGACCCAAAGAAAUGCCUGGCCACAAGGCCUCAGGUGGGAAAGAAAACAGGCUGAGUGCAUGUGGGGCAUCCCUGGGUGACGCAGACACCGGCAGACAGAAGGGCAAUGUUACAGUACCCAAGUAUCCAGCCGCAUCCUCUUCACAGCUGAGCCCUCAGCCUCAGGCUCUGGGGCUGGGCGCAGCAGGCCUAGUGUGGGCCCAAAGUCCCCCCGUCCAUCAUCCCGGUCCCCGGUCUCAUAGGAUCCUCCAGCUGGGCUGCUGAGACCUUCGCCAGGCUCAGGGCGGGCAGCUGGGAACACAGCUGGUGGAGGAGGUGCAGGGCUGCGUUCACGACUUGGGGACACUGGUUCUGACUUGAUGCUGAUGUGGGGGUGGGUAGUGACUGUGAGAGCAGCACCCACGUGAGGCAAGGGGCUGCCAGGGCUGGAGUUUAGGGACACAGAGACAGUAACAGAAAGAGUGGGAAGAAGUCACCAGACAGGGUCAACACAACAGAAUGAGAGUGGGGAGUCGGGGGAGGGAGAUGCGUGUCAAAGGGAAAGAAGAGAAAUGAGUGUUAGCUGCAGUCUGUCCACACCACUCUGUCCAUCUUCUAAAGCCUACACCCUCAGCCCUGAUGGCUGGGGGGAGGGGCUCAGGACUGCCACUUACUGAACACACACACAACUCCAGGAGACCUGUCCCUCACUCCCCACCGUCCCCAUGGAAAACCUCCCAAAGACUCACAUGAGGUUGCUGAGAGAAACGGGGACCAAGUGGGGCUGUUGCUGAGGUGGCUGCUGUGGCUGUGGCUGUGGUGGCUGUGGCUGUGACUGUGGCGGUUGUGGCGGUUGUGGCUGCUGGGGCGGCUGGGGCUGCUGCCAGGCGGUGACAUUGCCUAGUGCCAGCCCUGCAGGUGAACUGAAGGCUGGUAAGGAGGAUAGCUCUGCACUGGGCAGCUGGUAAUCUGUAGUAAGAGAAAGUGGGGGACCUGGGUGGGGAGCUCCUCACCUCCCCCCCCUUCGGGAGGACCAGUGGUGUCUAAGCACAGAUGUGAAGAAU